AUGGGAGCUGAUUGGGGACCAGUAAUUGUUGCUGUUGCCUUGUUCAUUGUUUUGUCACCAGGCUUGCUCUUCCAGUUUCCAGCAAGGAGUAGAGUUGUUGAAUUUGGUAACAUGAGUACUAGUGGAAUUUCUAUUCUCAUUCAUGCUAUUAUAUAUUUUUGUAUACUUACUAUCUUAAUUGUUGCAAUUGGUAUUCAUGUACACUUUAACUGA